GCCAUGCGUGGUGGCAUGUGUCUGUAGUCCCACCUGCUUGGGUGGCUGAGGCUGGAGGAUUGCUUGAGGCCAGGAGUUCUGGGCUGUAGAGCACUGGCCGAUCAGGUGUCUGCACUAACUUUGGCAUAUGGACACCUCCCUGGAGUGGGGGACCACUAGGUUGCCUAAGGAGGGGUAGACUGGCCCAGGUCAGAAAUGGAGCAGGUCAAAAUUCCCGUGCUGAUCAGUAGUGGAGUCAUGCCUGUGAAUAGCCACUGCAUUCCAGCCUGGGUAACAUAGAGAGAUGCUGUCUCUA
ensembl:misc_RNA Metazoa_SRP Metazoan signal recognition particle RNA